rnacentral:rRNA from 1 species
GACGAACGCUGGCGGCGUGCCUAAUACAUGCAAGUUGAGCGAUGAAGAUUGAUGCUUGCACCAAUUUGAAGAGCAGCGAACGGGUGAGUAACGCGUGGGGAAUCUGCCUUUGAGCGGGGGACAACAUUUGGAAACGAAUGCUAAUACCGCAUAACAACUUUAAACAUAAGUUUUAAGUUUGAAAGAUGCAAUUGCAUCACUCAAAGAUGAUCCCGCGUUGUAUUAGCUAGUUGGUGAGGUAAAGGCUCACCAAGGCGAUGAUACAUAGCCGACCUGAGAGGGUGAUCGGCCACAUUGGGACUGUGACACGGCCCAAACUCCUACGGGCGGCAGCAGUAGGGAAUCUUCGGCAAUGGACGAAAGUCUGACCGAGCAACGCCGCGUGAGUGAAGAAGGUUUUCGGAUCGUAAAACUCUGUUGGUAGGGAAGAACGUUGGUGCGAGUGGAAAGCUCAUCAAGUGACGGUAACUACCCAGCAAGGGACGGCUAACUACGUG